rnacentral:lncRNA from 1 species
CUCCAGCUCGCUCCUCGCCUCCUCCUCCUCCUCCUCCCCUGCUUCUGCUUCAGAGGGACACGACAACAACACGAGCCUAGAGCAGAGCAAGAGCCGAGAGCCACCCUCAGCGAAGAGGAGAGGUGUGCUUGGAUUGCCGCUCCAUUGCUGAAUAAUAUAUACUCUGCUAGUGGUAGUUUUUUAUUGAUUUUAGCCGGGAGGGGAUAAAAGAUGUCGUCGCUGGUGUCCGCGCCGUUCGCCACGGCCACCGGGGCGCAGAAGAAGGCGCGCGGGCCGCGGCCCGCGCCGCUGCACUCCUUCCUGCUCACCGGCCGGCGGGGGCGGCGCGCGACGAUACGGUGCGCCGUGGCCGGGAACGGGCUGUUCACGCAGACCAACCCGGACGUGCGCCGCGUGGUUCCCGCCGAGCGCGGCCUGCCGCGGGUCAAGGUGGUCUACGUCGUGCUGGAGGCGCAGUACCAGUCCUCCGUCACCGCCGCCGUGAUGCAGCUCAACGCCGACCCGCGCCGCGCCGCCGAGUUCGAGGUGGUGGGCUACCUGGUGGAGGAGCUGCGGGACGCGGACACGUACGCCGCCUUCUGCNNNNNNNNNNNNNNNNNNNNNNNNNNNNNNNNNNNNNNNNNNNNNNNNNNNNNNNNNNNNNNNNNNNNNNNNNNNNNNNNNNNNNNNNNNNNNNNNNNNNUGUUGGGGAACGUCGCAUGGGAAACAAAAAUUUUCCUACGCGCACGAAGACCUAUCAUGGUGAUGUCCAUCUACGAGAGGGGAUGAGUGAUCUACGUACCCUUGUAGACCGUACAGCAGAAGCUUUAGAGAACGCGGUUGAUGUAGUGGAACGUCCUCACGUCCCUCGAUCCGCCCCGCGAACAAUCCCGCGAUCAGUCCCACGAUCUAGUACCGAACGGACGGCACCUCCGCGUUCAGCACACGUACAGCUCGACGAUGAUCUCGGCCUUCUUGAUCCAGCAAGAGAGACGGAGAGGUAGAAGAGUUCUCCGGCAGCGUGACGGCGCUCCGGAGGUUGGUGAUGACCUCGUCUCAGCACGGCUCCGCCCGAGCUCCGCAGAAACACGAUCUAGAGGAAAAACCGUGGAGGUAUGUGGUCGGGCUGCCGUGGAAAAAUCGUCUCAAAUCAGCCCUACAACCUCCGUAUAUAUAGGUGGGAGGGAGGGGACCUUGCCUUGGGGCUCAAGGAGCCCCAAGGGGGUCGGCCGAGUCCAAGGGGGAGGACUCUCCCCCCCAAACCGAGUUGGACUAGGUUUGGUGGGAGGGAGUCCCCCUUCCUUCCCAUCUCCUCUUUUUUUUUCUUUCUCUCUUGAUUUUCUUCUCCUUGGCGCAUAGGGCACUUGUGGGUUGUCUCACCAGCCCACUAAGGGCUGGUGUGUCUCCCCCAAGUCCUAUGGGCUUCCCCGGGGUGGGUUGCCCCCCCCGGUGAACUCCCGGAACCCAUUCGUCAUUCCCGGUAACUCCGAAAACCUUCCGGUAAUCAAAUGAGGUCAUCCUAUAUAUCAAUCUUCGUUUCCGGACCAUUCCGGAAACCCUCGUAACGUCCGUGAUCUCAUCCGGGACUCCGAACAACAUUCGGUAACCAACCAUAUAACUCAAAUACGCAUAAAACAACGUCGAACCUUAAGUGUGCAGACCCUGCGGGUUCGAGAACUAUGUAGACAUGACCCGAGAGACUCCUCGGUCAAUAUCCAAUAGCGGGACUUGGAUGCCCAUAUUGGAUCCUACAUAUUCUACGAAGAUCUUAUCGUUUGAACCUCAGUGUCAAGGAUUCAUAUAAUCCCGUAUGUCAUUCCCUUUGUCCUUCGGUAUGUUACUUGCCCGAGAUUCGAUCGUCAGUAUCCGCAUACCUAUUUCAAUCUCGUUUAGCGGCAAGUCUCUUUACUCGUUCCGUAAUACAAGAUCCCGCAACGUACACUAAGUUACAUUGCUUGCAAGGCUUGUGUGUGAUGUUGUAUUACCGAGUGGGCCCCGAGAUACCUCUCCGUCACACGGAGUGACAAAUCCCAGUCUUGAUCCAUACUAACUCAACUAACACCUUCGGAGAUACCUGUAGAGCAUCUUUAUAGUCACCCAGUUACGUUGCGAUGUUUGAUACACACAAAGCAUUCCUCCGGUGUCAGUGAGUUAUAUGAUCUCAUGGUCAUAGGAAUAAAUACUUGACACGCAGAAAACAGUAGCAACAAAAUGACACGAUAAACAUGCUACAUCUAUUAGUUUGGGUCUAGUCCAUCACGUGAUUCUCCUAAUGACGUGAUCCAGUUAUCAAGCAACAACACCUUGUUCAUAAUCAGAAGACACUGACUAUCUUCGAUCAACUGGCUAGCCAACUAGAGGCUUGCUAGGGACGUUGUUUUGUCUAUAUAUCCACACAUGUAAACGAGUCUUCAUUCAAUACAAUUAUAGCAUGGAUAAUAAACGAUUAUAUUGAUACAUGAAUUAUAACAAUAACUAUAUUUAUUAUUGCCUCUAGGGCAUAAUUCCAACAACUGUUGGGGAACGUCGCAUGGGAAACAAAAAUUUUCCUACGCGCACGAAGACCUAUCAUGGUGAUGUCCAUCUACGAGAGGGGAUGAGUGACCUACGUACCCUUGUAGACCGUAUAGCAGAAGCGUUGGAGAACACGGUUGAUGUAGUGGAACGUCCUCACGUCCCUCGAUCCGCCCCGUGAACAAUCUCGCGAUCAGUCCCACGAUCUAGUACCGAACAGACGGCACCUCCGCGUUCAGCACACGUACAGCUCGACGAUGAUCUCGGCCUUCUUGAUCCAGCAAGAGAGACGGAGAGGUAGAAGAGUUCUCCGGCAGCGUGACGGUGCUCCUGCAGGUUGGUGAUGACCUUGUCUUAGCAGGGCUCCGCCCGAAAUCCGCAGAAACGCGAUCUAGAGGAAAACCGUGGAGGUAUGUGGUCGGGCUGCCGUGGAAAAGUCGUCUCAAAUCAGCCCUAAAACCUCCGUAUAUAUAGGUGGGACGGCGGGGACCUUGCCUUGGGGCUCAAGGAGCCCCAAGGGGGUCGGCCGAGUCCAAGGGGGAGGACUCUCCCCCCCCAAACCGAGUUGGACUAGGUUUGGUGGGAGGGAGUCCCCCUUCCUUCCCACCUCCUCCUUUUUUUUCUCUCUCUUGAUUUUCUUCUCCUUGGCGCAUAGGGCACUUGUGGGCUGUCCCACCCGCCCACUAAGGGCUGGUGUGUCUCCCCAAAGGCCUAUGGGCUUCCCCGGGGUGGGUUGCCCCCCGGUGAACUCCCGGAACCCAUUCGUCAUUCCCGAUAACUCCGAAAACCUUCCGGUAAUCAAAUGAGGUCAUCCUAUAUAUCAAUCUUCAUUUCCGGACCAUUCCGGAAACCCCCGUAACGUCCGUGAUCUCAUCCGGGACUCCGAACAACAUUCGGUAACCAACCAUAUAACUCAAAUACGCAUAAAACAAUGUCGAACCUUAAGUGCGCAGACCCUGCGGGUUCGAGAACUAUGUAGACAUGACCCGAGAGACUCCUCGGUCAAUAUCCAAUAGCGGGACCUGGAUGCUCAUAUUGGAUCCUACAUAUUCUACGAAGAUCUUAUCGUUUGAACCUCAGUGUCAAGGAUUCAUAUAAUCCUGUAUGUCAUUCCCUUUGUCCUUCGGUAUGUUACUUGCCCGAGAUUCGAUCGUCAGUAUCCGCAUACCUAUUUCAAUCUCGUUUACCGGCAAGUCUCUUUACUCGUUCCGUAAUACAAGAUCCCGCAACUUACACUAAGUUACAUUGCUUGCAAGGCUUGUGUGUGAUGUUGUAUUACCGAGUGGGCCCCGAGAUACCUCUCCGUCACACGGAGUGACAACGGAGUGACAAAUCCCAGUCUUGAUCCAUACUAACUCAACUAACACCUUCGGAGAUACCUGUAGAGCAUCUUUAUAGUCACCCAGUUACGUUGCGACGUUUGAUACACACAAAGCAUUCCUCCGGUGUCAGUGAGUUAUAUGAUCUCAUGGUCAUAGGAAUAAAUACUUGACACGCAGANNNNNNNNNNNNNNNNNNNNNNNNNNNNNNNNNNNNNNNNNNNNNNNNNNNNNNNNNNNNNNNNNNNNNNNNNNNNNNNNNNNNNNNNNNNNNNNNNNNNUAUAGGGCGAAUUCUUCUUGCUACUUCUCUUGUUUGCGUCGGUUUUUCCCUUGAAGAGGAAAGGGUGAUGUAGCACAGGAGCAGUAAGUAUUUCCCUCAGUUUGAGAAACAAGGUAUCAAUCCAGAAGGAGGGUCUCGUCAAGUCCAGAGUACCUGCGCAAACACAAACAAGCUUGCACCCAACGCUUCAAAGGGGUUGUCAAUCCCUUCAAGAUUGUUUGCAAAGUGAGAUCUGAAGGCCGAAAGUGCAAUGAAGUAAAAAGUGUAAGGCUGAAAAUAUGGUGUGGAGUAGACCCUGGGGGCCAUAGUGUUCACUAGGGGCUUCUCUCAUAAUAGAAAAUAUCACGGUGGGUGAACAAAUUACUGUCGAGCAAUUGAUAGAACCGCGCAAAGUCAUGAUGAUAUCUAAGGCAAUGAUCAUACAUAUAGGCAUCAUGUUCGAGACAAGUAGACCGAUACUUUGUGCAUCUACUACUAUUACUCCACACACCGACCGCUAUCCAGCAUGCAUCUAGUGUACUGAGUUCAUGACGAACAAAAUAACGCCUUAAGCAAGAUGACAUGAUGUAGAGGGAUAAUUUCAAACCAAUGAUGAAAACCCCAUCUUUUUACCCGUGAUGGCAACAACACUAUGCGUGCCUCGCUACCCCUUCUGUCACUGGGUGAGGUCACCGCACGGUAUGAACCCAAAAACAAGCACUUCUCCCAUUGCAAGAAUCAUAGAUCUAGUUGGCCAGACAAAACCCACAACUCGAUGAGAAUUACAAGGAUAUGAAAUCAUGCAUAAGAGAGAUCAGAAGAAACUCAAAUAAAAUUCAUAGAUAAUCUGAUCAUAAAUCCACAAUUCAUCGGAUCUAGACAAACACACCGCAAAAGAAGAUUACAUCGGAUAGAUCUCCAUGAAGAUCAUGGAGAACUUUGUAUUGAAGAUCCAAGAGAGAGAAGAAACCAUCUAGCUACUAACUAUGGACCCAUAGGUCUAUGGUGAACUACUCACGUAUCAUCGGAGAGGUCAUGGUGUUGAUGAAGAAGCCCUCCGUAUCCGAAUCCCCCCUCCGGAAGGGCAGCAGAAUGUGCCCCAAAUGGGAUCUUGCGGAGAGAGAAGCUUGCGGCGGCGGAAAAGUACUUUCGAUGAUCUCAUGAUUUUUUAUGGAAUUUUUGGGAAUAUAUAGGCGUGAAACCAAGGGCAAACAAGCAUCAGGGAGCCCACAAGCCAGGGGGGCACGCCAUGAGGGCUUGUGGGGUCCCUGGUGGGUCCCUACCCUGAUUCUCCGGCUUUCCGAUCUUUUUCUGUUCCGGAAAAAAUCUUUUUGGCAGUUUUAUUCCGUUUGGACUCCGUUCAAAAUCCUCCUCUGAAAGGGGUCAAAAACAUGGAAAAAACAGGAACUCGCACUUGGCACUGAGUUAAUAAGUUAGUCCCAAAAAAUAUAUAAAAGGCAUACAAAACAUCCAAAGUUUGACAAGAUAAUAGCAUGAAACCAUAAAAAAUUAUAGAUAAGUUGGGGUCGUAUCAAGCAUCCCCAAGCUUAACUCCUGCUCGUCCUCGAGUAGGAAGUGAUAAAAAUGAAUUUUUUAUGUGGAAUGCUACCUAGCAUAGUUGUCCUUUGCAACUUCUUUCACGUGACAUGAAUGUUCAGAUCCGUAAGAUUAAAAACAAUAGUUUGCUAUUGACAUGAAUACAAUAAUACUUCAAGCAAACUAGCAAGGUAAUCAUGAACUUUCAAAAUAACAAGGCCAAGGAAAGUUAUCCCUACAAAAUCAUAUAGUCUGGCUAUGCUCCAUCAUCCUCACACAACUAAUGUAAAUCAUGCACAACCCCUGUAUUGGCCAAGUAAUUGUUUUCACACUCUUACUUUCUCAAACUUUUUAUAACUGUCACGCAAUACAUGAGGGUGAGCCAUGGAUAUAGCACUAUAGGUGGAAUAGAGUGUGGUGGUGGUUGUGAGACAAAAAGGAGGAGAUGGUCACAUUGACUCGGUGUAUCAAAUGGCUAUGGAGAUGCCCAUUAAUAGAUAUCAAUGUGAAUGAGUCGGGAUUGCCAUACAAGGGAUGCACUAGAGCUAUAAGUAUGUGAAAGCUCAAAAGGAGAACUAGUGGGUGUGUAUCCAACUUGCUUGCUCACGAAGACCUAGGGCAAUUUUGAGGAAGCCCAUCAUUGGAAUAUACAAGACAAGUUAUAUAAUGAAGAUUCUCACUAGCAUAUGAUAGUUACAAAGCAAAAAUCUCUCAAUCAUGAAGAACAUGGUGCUAUUAUGAAGCACAAGUGUGGAAAAGGAUAGUAGCAUUGUCCCUUCUCUCUUUUUCUCUUUUUUUUAUUUGGGAUCUUAGGCCUCUCAUUUUUUUCUCCUUCUUUUAUUUUUGGGAUCUUUGGCCUCUUUUUUUAUUUCCUCACAUGGGACAAUGCUCUAAUAAUGAUGAUCAUCACACUUUUGUUUACUCAUGGCUCAAAGCUUAGAAAUGACUCUAUAGGAAAUGCCUCCGGAAGUAUAACGGGAUGUGCAACGAUCUAGCUUGGCGUAUGACGUUGAAACAUCUCGCUAGCUAUAUUACGAUCAUGCAAUGGGAAUAUGAUAAUGACGGCACAAGUCAUGAGACAGAAUGGUGGGAGUUGCAUGGCAAUAUAUUUCGGAAUGGCUAUGAAAAUGCCAUAGUAGGUAGGUAUGGUGGUUGUUUUGAGGAAGACAUAUGGUGGGUUUGUGUACCGGCGAAAGCUGCGCGGCACUAGAGAGGCUAGCAAUGGUGGAAGGUGAAAGUGCAUCUAUACCAUGGACUCGCAUUAGUCAUGAAGAACUCACAUACUUGUUGCAAAAGUUUUUAUUAGUAAUCGAAACAAAGUGCUAAACGCAUACUCCUAGGGGAAGGGUUGGUAGGUGUUAACCAUCGCGCGAUCCCGACCUCAACACAAAGGAUGACAAUCAAUAGAUAAAUUAUGCUCCGACUUCCUAACAUAGCGGUUCACCAUACGUGCAUGCUACGGGAAUCACUAACUUCAACACAAGUAUUUCUAGAUUCACAACGGCCUACUAACAUAACUCUUAAUAUUACCGAAUCCAAGUCUCAAAAUUAAUUGAGAGGAAUCAAUACUUCUAUUUCUACUCAGUGCAUAUGAAGAUGGAGGUUUCUGUAUCCUCUUUGGGUACCUAUCAACUUUGGGACUACUUUCAUAGCAUAAGCCAACUACCAAGUCACGCACCACCGUGCUCUAAAAGAUAUAAAUGAAGCACAUAGAGGAAAAUUAUCUAGCUCAAAAGAUAUAAGUGAAGCACUGAUACAUCCAUUUUGCAUCAUGCUUUCAUGUUGAUAUUUAUUGCUUUAUGGGCUGUUAUAUUACUUUGUGGUACCAUAUUUAUGCCUUUUCUCUCUUAUUUUGCAAGGUUUAUUUGAACAGGGAGAAUUCAGGCAGAUGGAAUUAUGGACUUGAAAAGGAGCAAAUCUUAGUCCACUAUUCUGCACAUCUCCAAAUGCCCUGAAAAGUUACGUGGAAUUUUUUGGGAUUAUAUAAAAAAUACUGGGCGAAAGAAGUGCCGGAGGGGGGCCACCAGGGCGCCACAAGCCCUGCCACCGCCACCCCUUGGUGGCGGAGGGCAAGCUUGUGGGCUCCCUAACGGCACACUAGCUCCCCUCUUUUGCUAUGUGAAGGGUUUCGUUCCAGAAAAAAAUCAAUCGGGAGCUUUUUCGUGGUUUCGCCGCCGCCACGAGGCAGAACUUGAGGAGAUCCAAUCUAGAGCUCCGACAGGACGAUCCUGUCGGGGAAACUUCUCUCCCGGAGAGGGAAAUCGUCGCCAUCGGCAUCACCAACCCGCCUCUCGUCGGAGGGGAGGCAUCUUCAUCAACAUCUUCAUCAGCACCAUCUCCUCUCCAAUCCCUAGUUCAUGUCUUGUAACCAAUCCUCGUCUCGCGACUUUGAUUGGUACUUGUAAGGUUACUAGUAGUGUUGAUUACUCUUUGUAGUUGAUGCUAGUUGGAUUACUUGGUGGAAGAGUUUAUGUUCAGAUCCUUGAUGCUAUUCAUUACACCUCUGAUCAUGAUUAUGAUUAUGCUUUGUGAGUAGUAACUUUUGUUCCUGAGGACAUGGGAUAAGUCAUGCUGAUAAUAGUCAUGUGAAUUUGAUAUUCGUUCGGUAUCUUGAUAUGUUGUAUGUUGUCUUUUUUCUCUAGUGGUGUUAUGUGAAUGUCGACUACAUAACACUUCACCAUAUUUGGGCCUAGAGGAAGGCAUUGGGGAGUAGUAAGUAGACGAUGGGUUGCUGGAGUGACAGAAGCUUAAACCCCAGUCUAUGCGUUGCUUCGUGAGGGGCUGAUUUGGAUCCACUAGUUUAAUGCUAUGGUUAGACGUUGUCUUAAUUCUUCUUUUGUAGUUGUGGAUGCUUGCGAGAGAGGUUAAUCAUAAGUGGGAUGAUUGUCCAAGUAAGGGCAGUACCCAAGCGCCGGUCCAUCCACAUAUCAAACUAUCAAAGUAACGAACAUGAAUCAUAUGAACAUGAUGAAACUAGCAUGACAGAAAUUCCCGUGUGUCCUCGGGAGCGUUUUUCCUCCUAUAAGACUUUGUUCAGGCUUGUCCCUUGCUACAAAAGGGAUUGGGCCACUUGCUGCACCGUUGCUACUACUUGUUACUUGUUACGUUUCACCUGCUACACCAUCACUUGUUACCGCUACUUUUAGUGCUUGCAGUUAUUACCUUGCUGAAAUCCGUUUAACAGAGCCUUCUGCUCCUCGUUGGGUUCGACACUCUUACUUAUCGAAAGGACUACGAUUGAUCCCCUAUACUUGUGGAUCCGCAAGCUUAGGCUUUUUCGUGUCCUUGAAUUUGGCUUGGGAUGCCUUGGGCAUCCCCAAGCUUGAUCUCUUUCCACUCCUUAUCUCUUUGUCCAUGAGAACAUCACCCAAAACUUGAAAACUUCACAACACAAAACUUAAACAGAAACUUGUGAUAACAUUAGCACAAGAAAACAAACUACCACCUCUUUUGGUACUGUAGCAAACUUGAAUUCUAUCUAUAUUGGUGUUGGGCUACUGUAUACUCACUUUUCCAUGGCUAAUACCCCCCGAUACUAACCAUAGUUUCAUCAAAACAAGCGACCAACUCAACAAAAACAGAAUCUGUCAAAAACAGACCAGUCUGUAGCAAUCUGUAUACUUCGUAUACUUAUGGUACCUCAAAAAUUCUGAAACUUUACGACUAACUGUGAAAAAGGCAUAUGAACCAGCAUAAAAAAGAAUCACCUCAAAAGCUCUUUCUGAAUAAAAAUGAAGAAACAUCUCAUGAGCGAACAUUUUCUGUCUUUUUCCAGCAGGAUGAAACAACCAUUACCAAGACUAUCAUAAAGGUUUUGCUUCGCUCAAACACAAAAAACACAACGACAACAGAAUUGUGAAAGUGUGGAUGCAACAAAACAUAAAGAAAAAGAUAAAUUCAUUGGGUUUCCUCCCAACAUGCGCUAUUGUUUAACGCCCUUAGUUAGGCAUAAAAGCGAUAGAAUCACGUAUCGUCGUCUUUGGUGCUCAAACCAUAAGUGGCCCUCAUCAUGGAUUCAUAAGGCAAUCUUAUUUUUUUCUAGGAAAGUGUUCCAUGCCCUUCCUUAAAGUAAAUUGAAAUCUAAUGUUCCCUUCCUUCAUAUCGAUGAUAGCACCAAUAGUCCUUAGGAAAGGUCUACCAAGAAUAAUAGGGCAUGUAGGAUUGCAAUCAAUGUCAAGCACAAUGAAAUCCAUGGGUACAUAGUUCCUAUUUUCAAUAAUAAGAGCAUCAUUGAUCCUUCCCAUGGGAUUCUUGACAGUAGAAUCCGCAAGAUGCAAAUUAAGAGAACACUCUUCAAUCUCAUUAAAACCCAAAACAUCACAUAAAGACUUUGGAAUCGCGGAAACACUAGCACCCAAAUCACACAAAGCAUUGCAUUCAUAGUUUUUGAUUUUGAUUUUGAUAGUAGGUUCCCACUCGUCAUGAAGCUUUAUAGGGAUAGAGACUUCCAAUUCAAGUUUCUCUUCAAGAGAUUUUAUCAUGGCUUCGACGAUAUGAUCGGUAAAGGCCUUGUUUUGGAUAUAAGCGUGUGGAGAGUUUAACAUGGAUUGCAUCAAGGAAAUGCAUUCAAUCAAGGAGCAAAUAUCAUAAUUGAAUUCCUUGAAAUCCAUGGUAGUAAUUUCAUUACUACUCCAAGUUUUAAUAUCUUCUACUCCACUUUCAAUGCUUUUAGCAUCAAGAUAGAUGGACUCCGAAUCAUUGGGGCACUUUUCAACCAAACUGGAUUCAUAUCCAGUCCCAUAAUCAUUAGGUUUUUCACAAGAAAACAAAGAUUCAAGGGGAGUCACACCAAGCACUUUAAGAUCUUCGUGACUCUUAUCACGAGAACACGCCUUUUUAAGCCAUUCAUGUCUAGCAUGAAUUUGGGCGGUUCUUUCUUUGCUCUCAAUCAUGGAAACAUGCAUAGCUUUCAAAGUGUCAUCCAUAAUGAUCUUGGGAGGAGCACAUCUAACUUUCAAAGCAUCAAUAUCACUAGACAUUCUAUCCACGCUCUUAGCCAAAUCGUCAAUUUUGAGUAGUUUUUCCUCUAUGGACGCAUUGAAUUUUUUUUGUGAGUUGAUAAACUCUUUGAUAUUACUCUCUAGAUCAGAGGGUAAUCUAUUGUAAUUUCCAUGAGUAUUGUUGUAGGAGUUGCCAAAUUUGUUAGAGGAGUUACUAGGAAAAGGCCUUGGAACAUAGUUUCCUCUAAAAGCAUUAUUGUUGCCAAAAUUAUUCCUACCAACAAAAUUAACAUCCAAGCUAGCGUUGCUACUCUCAAUCAAACAAGACAAAGGCAUAUCAUUGGUAUCUAAAGGAGCACUUCUACAAGCAACCAAAUUCAUUAACUCAUCCAACUUAGCACUCAACGAGUUAAUUUCUUCUAUAGCGUGUACCUUCUUACUAGUAGGUGACUCAUACGUCCAUUUUGCAUCAUGUUUUCAUGUUGAUAUUUAUCUCUUUAUGGAUUGUUAUUAUACUUUGUGGAACCAUACUUAUGCCUUUUCUCUCUUAUUUUGCAAGGUUUAUUUGAAGAGGGAGAAUACCGGCAGCUGGAAUUCUGGACUGGAAAAGGAGCAAGUCUGAGUCCUUUAUUCUGCGCAACUCCAAAUGCCCUAAAAAUCAACGUGGAUUUUUUUGGGAAUAUAUAAAAAAUACUGGGCGAAAGAAGUGUCAGAGGGGAGCAUCUAGGGGGCCACAAGCCUGGUUGCCGUGGCCUACCCCCCUGGCCGCCGCAACAGGGCUUGUAGGCACCCUGGUAGCCCAC